CAGUCGCCGCGGGAAUACGGAGGGUGCAAGCGUUAAUCGGAAUUACUGGGCGUAAAGCGUGCGUAGGCGGUUCGUUAAGUCUGUUGUGAAAGCCCCGGGCUCAACCUGGGAAUGGCAAUGGAUACUGGCGAGCUAGAGUGUGUCAGAGGAUGGUGGAAUUCCCGGUGUAGCGGUGAAAUGCGUAGAGAUCGGGAGGAACAUCAGUGGCGAAGGCGGCCAUCUGGGACAACACUGACGCUGAGGCACGAAAGCGUGGGGAGCAAACAGGAUUAGAUACCCGAGUAGUCCCUGUCUCUUAUAC
rnacentral:rRNA from 1 species